GCCUGAGUGGCUCAGUCGGUUGAGCAUCCGACUUUAGAUCAGGUCAUGAUCUCACAGUUCGUGAGUUCGAGCCCUACAUCAGGCU
rfam:Felis catus isolate Cinnamon breed Abyssinian chromosome A3, whole genome shotgun sequence.